CAAGGAAUUUUCCACAAUGGGCGCAAGCCUGAUGGAGCAACGCCGCGUGGGGGAGGAAGCCCUUCGGGGUGUAAACCCCUUUUCUGGGGGAUGAAGGAAAUGACGGUACCCCAGGAAGAAGGACCGGCUAACUACGUGCCAGCAGCCGCGGUAAGACGUAGGGUCCGAGCGUUGUCCGGAGUUACUGGGCGUAAAGGGCGCGCAGGCGGUUAGUCAAGUCGGAGGUGAAAGGUUUCCGCUCAACGGGAACAGGUCGUUCGAAACGGACUAACUGGAGGCAGGGAGAGGCUGAUGGAAUUCCCGGUGUAGUGGUGAAAUGCGUAGAGAUCGGGAGGAACACCAGUGGCGAAGGCGGUCAGCUGGACCUGACCUGACGCUGAGGCGCGAAGGCGUGGGGAGCAAACGGGAUUAGAUACCCCCGUAGUCC
rnacentral:rRNA from 1 species